rnacentral:misc_RNA from 1 species
GAUUUGUAAUUACUUAUCCUUUGAGGGGAUUUCAUUGUUGUGCUAGGGAUAUUAGGAAUUUAUGUUUGGUGUGAUGAUCGGUAUAGGAUGAAUCUCACGCGUUCUAGUUUUGGAUUGAUUGAUUCUUUCUUAGAAUAGUGAGCAUUUUUUGUUUUUCCAAAAUUCUUUGCUUAUGUUAGAACAAGCAAAUACAUCUUGAUAUAGUCAAAUCCUUA